CCUANGGGAGGCUGCAGUGGGGAAUAUUGCGCAAUGGGCGAAAGCCUGACGCAGCAACGCCGCGUGGGUGAUGAAGGCCUUCGGGUCGUAAAGCCCUGUCGGAGGGAAAGAAAGGCGGAGGGAAUAAUACCCCCGAGCUCUGACGGUACCCUUAGAGGAAGCACCGGCUAACUCCGUGCCAGCAGCCGCGGUAAGACGGAGGGUGCAAGCGUUGUUCGGAAUUACUGGGCGUAAAGCGCGCGUAGGUGGCGCGUCAAGUCGGGUGUGAAAUCCCUUGGCUUAACCAAGGAACUACACUCGAUACUGGCGAGCUCGAGUCCCGGAGAGGGAGAUAGAAUUCCCGGUGUAGAGGUGAAAUUCGUAGAUAUCGGGAGGAAUACCAGUGGCGAAGGCGGUCUCCUGGACGGUGACUGACACUAAGGCGCGAAAGCGUGGGGAGCAAACAGGAUUAGAUACCCUUNUANUC
rnacentral:rRNA from 1 species